rnacentral:tRNA from 1 species
CCGUAGCUCAGUUGGAUAGAGCGUUUGGCUACGAACCAAAAGGUCGUGGGUUCGAGUCCCGCCGGG